rnacentral:tRNA from 1 species
CCGUGCUGCGGGACGCGGUGGUGCUGGCACUGCCGCUGCAGCCGGUGUGCCGGGAGGACUGCCCGGGCCUGUGUUCCGAUUGCGGAGCGCGGC